AUGGCCACAGAAAGGGCGGUGCUUACACCUUUGAGAGUCAGAGUUGCGCGCUUGCGUUCUAGUUUCUAUGCCGAUGACGCAGCCUUGUUCAUCAAUCCCGUUGCCCAAGAUUUUGCUGCAGUGCAUGCCAUUCUUAAGGUUUUUGGGGAUGCCUCUGGGCUGCGGGCCAACAUCGCCAAGACCGUGGCUUAUCCUAUCUCCUGCUCUGGGAUCAACAUUGAGAGUAUGUGGAGUGUUUUUGGUGGGAUUUUGGGGUCCUUCCCGUGUCAAUACCUAGGGCUGCCACUUGGGCUUCGGAAGCCGAGAAGAGCUGAAGUUCAGCCGGUCUUGGACAAAUUUGCAGGCAAGCUUGCUCCUAGGAAGGGGAGAUUACUAAAUAGGAUGGGAAGGCUGGUGUACAUCAAUUCUGUCGUUACGGCCAUGACCACUUUCUUUUUGACGGCCUUCCCUCCUGACAAGUGGCUAAUCAAAAAAAUGGACAAGCUAAGGAGAAAUUUCCUUUGGUGUGCGGAGGAUGAAGCUGUAGGAAGGAAAUGUCUGGUCAGCUGGAAGCGAGUCUGUGCUCCUAAGCGUCUUGGUGGUCUAGGAGUGAAGGACAUACUUUGUUUCAGCAGGGCGUUGCGUUUGCGAUGGGAAUGGUUUCGGUGGGCUGAAGAGGAUAGGCCAUGGAAGGGCACAGCGACGCCGUGCGACGACACGGAUCGGCAGCUCUUCUCCAGUUGCACUAGUAUCGAGUGUUGGGGAACGUAG
rnacentral:rRNA from 1 species